UGCAUAUUCCACACACACACACACACACACACACACAAGAGCAUCCAGCAAGCCUGUCUUAGCACGGUGCAUAUUUCACACAAAGCAGCAGCCACCAGCAAGCCUAUCUUCCUUACCAACAUAGUAGAACCGAAACCAUGAGCUCUGCCAGUGUGAUAGGUAGCAUGUUGCUCAGCUCAUCUGUUUGGCAGCUUCACCAUGGGUCUCUGGAGUGGCCGGAGGGAUCUUGCAUAUACCCUCUGAAGCAUCCCUGGCUCACUGUCCCUCCAGCUGCGGAGACGUGGACUACAUCGCCUACCCAUAUGGGAUUGGGCAGGGAUGCUUCCGUCCGGGCUUCGAGCUCACCUGCGACAACACCACUAUGCCUCCCAGGCUCCUUCUGGGAGGCAGAGGCAGCAAAACCGUGAUCACCGGCCUUAAUACCAUCUAUGCUUGGACACCUAUUGGCUUCAACAUUACAAUGAGACCAGGCACAAAAACCCACAACGUGUCUUGGGAAUCCCCUGCCAAGGGCACCAUCAAUCUCCAGGAGCGCUCUAAUACUCUGUAUGUCAUCGGCUGUGGUGUGGAGGCAUUCUUGUACGAUCACGACACCGGCGAUACACUCGGCUCAUGCAUGAGUACAUGCACAUCCAACAUGGAGAAGGAAGCAGAAGGCUGCGAUGGCGUCGGCUGCUGCCGGAUCCGCAUCAAAAGGGAGUUGGGAGGCUUUCAGUUAACACUUGCCCGCCUCGACGACUUCGUCCAACAAUCAGAUGAGCUGCUGUCUCAUGUCAAGGUCUUCGUUUCAGAACUAGGGGAUUUUGGUUUUCGUACAAGUGAUCUUUUCUCAGGCUGGAUAAACACAAGCAGAUGGCACUAUGAGGAUGCGGAACUCCGGGGUUCUAUAACGGACCAGCCUAGCUGCCAAAUGGCAUACAAGAAUAAGGCCUAUGUUUGUACCGCCAACAGCGAUUGCCGCAAUGCAUCGCACGGCUACUAUUGCUGGUGCUCCGAAUAUUAUGAAGGCGGCAAUCCUUACGUUAUUGACGGUUGCAUCGAAGGUUACAAUCCAGUUCCUAAAAAGGAUUGCUCAAGAUCAUGUGGAAACACAAGCAUUCCUUUUCCUUUCGGGGUCGAAGAAGGUUGUUAUGCUCAUGAAAAGUUUGGGCUUAACUGUACAACGGAUAAUGUCACCGUACUUGAUCGGGGAGUAAUAAAAUAUCAUGUGUACAAUGUAUCAGUGGCCGAUGGUUAUUUAAGUGUAAGAAAUAUACCGAACGAUACAGCAUACAACUUCCAAGAGUUCAUGGUACCCACCAAAGAUGGUGAAGAAGCGAUGCAAGAUGGUGCCCGCAAUGAUAUAUUUGAGUUGUCUCAAGAAUAUGACAUGCAAAUGUGGUGGGCUGUUAGGAAUAUAACUUGUCAAAAAGCUAUGAAACAUAAAGCUACGUACGCAUGCCGCAGUGUCAACAGCAACUGCCUUCUUGUCAACCAUGGGAAAAAACAGCUUGGCUAUCGGUGCAAUUGUUCCCAAGGAUUUCAGGGAAAUCCGUAUAUUGAAGAUGGGUGCAAAGACAUCAACGAGUGCUUACUGCCAGAUUCUUGCAGCGGUAUAUGUCACAAUUUUGAUGGAGGUUACUAUUGCAUGAGUUGCCCACACGGAAAAGAAUUUGAUGCAACAAAAAGGAAGUGUGUUAUGUCAGUAAAGCAACGCAAUAUUCUUAUAGGCAAGUCAUACCGCAAUUUCUUUAUUGCACUUACUAUUCAGAACAUACAGUAUUGUACUUUGCUCGUAAUGAUCACAAGAUUGUUAAGUAAUAUGAACAAUCUCACUGCCACACGACCCAGUGGCCGAGGCAGGAAUUUUGGUUUGGGUGUAAAUAGUUUUAAAAUUGGUGUUCUAACUAAUUAAUUAUAGGAUUAACUUAGAGCUAUAAGCUCUUCUUUCCCAAAUAAUGGGUGUACAUAUGUACACGCAUGUCCUUUUGCUGGCUCCGCCCAUGCACGACCCCCACCCACACACUCGCGAUGCCAAAAAAAAGUCCAUUAUUAUUAUUUGAAAUGGGUGUCCAUGAAGGAUGGGGCUAGGCAGCUACACGCAAAGACUGGUGUCAAUUGGCACCAUUAAGUACCUAUUUGGUUCUAAGGAAUUGCAUAAGAAUUUUUAAGGAUUCCAUUCGUUAGGACUUUCUUUCUUUUUUUUUAGAAAAAGGAGGAUGACCCCCGGCCUCUGCAUCUGGGAGAUGCAUACGGCCACGUUAGGACUUUCUUUCUGUAGAGUUCGUUUCAUUCGUUAGAAAUGUUUUUUUUGCAUCCUCCCUGCUGCCCCUCUUUGGCGGUGAUAAAUACAACAUUGUCCCCAAACGCUGCAUAUUAACAAGGCAGACAUGUUCCCCUAAAAAAAACAAGGCAGACAUGUAUCAUCUAUUGGUUGGGUGAAUCCUAUUAUCAUAUAUUCACCGAAUGGCCAACAAUUGUCUACUAUAUGAGUAAUUUUGUAACUGCAAUGAAUGAAUGCAGGAAUUGCAACUGGAAUAAGCUGUGGCUUUGGCUCAAUAAUUCUAGGGCUGAGUGCAAGUGUACUCGCUCAUAAGUGGAAGCAAAGCAUUCAGAAAAGUACUCGAAGAGCAUGGUUCAAGAAAAAUCAAGGCCUACUAUUGGAACAACUAAUUUCAGAUGAAUGCAGCACAAGCAAAACAAACAUAUUCACCUUGCAGGAACUUGAGGUGGCGACCAACAAUUUUGAUGCUACUCGUGUUCUUGGUUCUGGAGGACAUGGCACAGUUUACAAGGGGAUUCUAUGUGAUCAACGUGUGGUGGCCAUUAAAAAAUCCAAAAUUGAGAAGCAAGCUGAAAUAGACCAGUUUAUCAACGAAGUUGCUAUCUUGUCUCAAAUCAUACACCGCAACAUCGUGAAGCUAUUUGGUUGUUGUCUAGAAUCUGAAGUGCCCUUAUUGGUCUAUGAGUUCAUAUCUAAUGGCACGUUAUAUGAUCUUCUUCACACUGGUGUUGGGUGUUUGUUAUCAUGGGAAGAUCGUAUUAAGAUUGCAGUAGAGGCUGCAGGUGCUAUUGCUUAUCUCCACUCAGCUGCAGCAAUACCAAUUUUUCAUAGAGAUGUGAAGUCUUCCAACAUACUCCUAGAUGGCAGCUUCACCACAAAGGUGUCUGAUUUCGGUGCUUCAAGAUCUAUUUCUCUUGACGAGAGUCAUGUGGUGACUAAGGUCCAAGGCACGUUUGGUUACUUAGAUCCAGAGUAUUACCAUACCGGCCAACUAACUGAGAAAAGUGAUGUGUAUAGUUUUGGGGUGAUACUCGCGGAACUUCUCACAAGAAAGAAGCCGGUUUUUAAUGAUAAUUCAGGCAUAAAACAAAGUUUGUCUCAUUACUUCGUUGAAGGACUUCAAGAUGGAAUGCUUAUGGAAAUCAUCGAUCCUCAAGUUGUGGAAGAGGCAAACAAAGAAGAUAUUGGUGAAAUUGCCUCGCUUAUAGAAGUUUGCUUGCGUCUCAAAGGAGGAGAGAGACCUACUAUGAAAGAAGUAGAUAUGAGGCUGCAAUUCCUAAAGAGUGGGAGGCUAAGAAAGCUCCAAGCUUGCAGAGAUGAUGGAGAGAGCAAUUGUGUGAACGCUGUCAUUGUGAAAUCUGAAGGCAAUUCUGGGUGCUACAGUUUGGAGCAAGAGUUCCUGUUAUCGGCCAGUUUACAACGUUAAUUACAAGUGUACAAUGAAGCAACCGAAUACCCGUUUGGAUUCUGUAAGAUAAUGUAUUUUUCAAAUAACUUUGUUGGGUCGCAGUUCAUCUAUUUAGACCCGAGCAUGACAUUUACCGUCCGAUACAUUUGGAUAAUGUACAUGUAGUCCAUGUUGGUUGUGUACUGUUAAAACUACGGAAAAAACUGGGUGGCCACGUGUAGUCCCCUCUGUCGUAGGAUUUCCAUUGCAUUGGGAUCCAUGGCACAACUAUUUAAUGGUUCAUACAUUUAUGCACGCUGUAUGUCUAGACUUCCAACCAUAGUAAUGAUCCAAAUUUAUAUGGAUAUAUACAUUUACAUAGCAGUUACUCGGAAAAUCAGGGUGUUUACCUCUGCAGCGAAGUGACAGGCAAC
rnacentral:rRNA from 1 species